rnacentral:lncRNA from 1 species
GGGGAGUGUUGAGGGGGCCUGAAGGGUUCCGCUCCUCCCACCCAGGGAACCGCCAUGCCACUAGUGGGCUGUCCUGGAGACUCGGGGAGAAAGCACACAGGCUGUCGGGAAAGGUGGGUCGCAGGCGGGCAGGGCAGCCCUGCUGUACUGAUGGGCAGGCGCUGGGUGGGUGGAAGGCAAAGCCAUCAGGUCAUCCCCCUCUCUGUCCCUGCAUUGGGCCAACCAGGUGUGUCAGGAGGAUAUUUGACCAUUCCUGAGAGGCACAUUCUCUCUCUCUCUCUCUCUCUCCCUCUCUCUCUCUCCCUCUCUCUCUCCCUCUCUCCCUCUCUCUCCCUCUCUCUCCCUCUCUCUCCCUCUCCCUCUCUCUCUCCCUCUCCCUCUCUCCCCCCUCCCUCUCCCUCCCUCUCCCCCUCUCCCUCUCCCUCUCUCCCCCUCCCUCUCUCUCCCUCUCUCUCCCUCUCUCUCCCCCUCUCUCUCCCUCCUCUCUCUGUCACACACAUUUGCACAUCCUGCAGUGUGAAUGGAGUAUGAAUGUGUGUGGUAGGCGACAGCUGUGUGUGUACGUCCGGGUGCGUGUGUGCGUGUGUACAUGUGAGCGUGUGUGCACGUGAGUUAGAGCCUGAGUGUCCCCUGCGUGGGUUAGUGUGUGCGCCCGCCCGGUGCCCUCCGUCUUGGGAGUCUGGGCUGCUGCUCCGCGGGCUCUGGAGCCGGCGCUCCCCACGAGCCCGGACUCUCCGCCGCGCCCGGGAGCUGCGCAAUCGGCUGCUAAGACGCCGGCGCCACCGGCUGGGCCCUGUUCUCCCCUCUCUUUUCUACAGUCUUACCCGCAGCUGACAGGGUUCGAAAGAGCAUGAAACGGAGGAGACGUUACAGCAACGUGUCAGCUGAAAUGAUGGGCGUAGACGCACGUCAGCGGCGGAAAUGGUUUCUAUCAAAAUGAAAGUGUUUAGAGAUUUUCCUCAAGUUUCAAAUGAGGCGAAUCCCGUUUUCCGCGAUGCUGCAGCGCGCGGGUUUUAACCGCAGGGUCACGCGGAACGCCGCGCCGCGCGACUGUGCCUCGGUCUCUGCGCCCGGCUCUCCCUCCGGUCCGCAAGAGGAGGAAGGCCCGCGGCGUGCCGAGGUCAGCGGCGCGGAGCCACCAGGCGAGACGGUCACGGACGCCUGAACCGAGGUCACCGAGGCCACGGGGCCGGGAGGCCCUCAGCAGAGCCCGGGGGCUCCGCACCUCAAGGCCGGCCAGGAAGAAACAGCAGCAGGAGCCCAGGGCGCCCCGGGGAGCCCCCGACACGCGGGCCGAGCGCCCAGAGCGGCCCAGGCCCUCGCGAGGAGACCGGCCUCCCCAGGGCGGGGCUUCCGACUCGGGCGCCCGUGAGCCCCGGAGGCGGCGCGAAGGGGCAGAGUCCGCGUUUCUAACCAGCCCCCGGGUGGGCGGUGGCCCGCGCGGCACGGUGGGCGCGAGCGCCGUGGGCUGGGGCCGGCCUGGGCUUUCAGGGCGAGGGCUUUCCGCGCCGGCCCCAGCCCACCCGGCCCCGCUGCGCGCCCCUCACGCUGCAGCCUGGGAACCUGGGCCGGGAGCUGCGGGCCGCUCCGGGGAAGCGGGCCUGACCUCCCCUCCCCACCGCCGCCCCUGCGGUGAGAUCCUGCCUGCCGGGGCGCAGGGGCCCGCGGUUGGGCUCCGGGAGACGGAAGAGGCCCCACAGCUCGGGCCCCACGCAGUGGACGCUGCCACUUAAUUUUGGCGUAAUUGAUGUCAAGGCGGGUGCCCGGGCCCCCAGUGAAAUGCCUCAUGAACUCGCUGCGAGGAACGGCGCUCCACGCGGUGCACGGUGGCCAAUCAGAGCUGCCGCUUCUGAUGGAGGCUGAGCCGGCUGGGGAGGCGUCUUGGCCAAGAACCAGCCCCAGCCUCGCUCAGGGCCCCAACCCGCAGACCAUGUAAUUAAGCUGCGUUCUGCAGCCAGGGCAAGGAGUCUCAGCUCUGAACAUCUUCCCGCACCUCUGAGGAGCCAGGCCUGGAAACCCUCUAAAAUAGAUUUUUCUGCCUCAAGACAGAAGAUGGGCGUUCCAGGCAGAGAAGAGCUGCCCAGUCACGUGCUCUGCUCCACCUGGUCAGAGACCCUUGACCUUUAGAAGACUGGACCUGAGGGCGUGGCUGGUGGACCUGAGGGCGUGGAUGGUGGACCUGGCCACCCAGCUGUAGCUUUUUGGGUUCCUGUGGUCCCAUUUCUUGGGUCAAUCUCACACCUGGCAGCUCCCAGGAAGACACCCCCAGGCCCCUCACACUCCUGGGGGCAGCUGGAAUUGGCUUCAGGGCGGGACCAGGGGCCCCAUGGGUGUUUGGAAUCCCUGAUCUGGGUCAGGCACCGGCAGCAGGAUUCCAGCCUGGCCUGGACUCUGGUGUGUCCCGUUUGAAGAAACCCCGCCCUGUGAAAGUUCAAGUUUAGCAUCCAAUGACCCAUUUAAGAGGUUUGCUGAGCCACGUCACAGGAGGGUCUGGGUGCAAACGGAGGUGGCAACACACAGAGCGAGCCUUGAGCACCCAGGUUACCCCCAGGACCUCCAGUCUGGCUUGGGGGCUCCUGCUGUCCUGUGGAGCAGCCCCCUGGGAUCAGGGACGGGGCUGAGCUGGAGAGUGUGCAGGAUUGAUUAAUGAUGUCUGCCACGGUCAGGCCAACUGCUGUGUUUCUGGGGCCCACAAGCUAAAAAUGGUUGGAAAAAAAUCAAAACAUUAAUAUUUGUGACAUAUGAGAAUGCUAUGAAAGUCAACUUUGCUAUCCAUAAAUAAAGUUUUAUUGACAU